GAGUUUGAUCGUGGCUCAGGAUGAACGCCGGCGGUGUGCCUAAUACAUGCAAGUCGUACGCACUGGCCCAACUGAUUGAUGGUGCUUGCACCUGAUCGACGAUGGAUCACCAGUGAGUGGCGGACGGUGAGUAACACGUAGGUAACCUGCCCUGUACGGGGGAUAACAAUCAGAAAUGACUGCUAAUACCGCAUAAGACCACAGCACCGCAUGGUGCAGGGGUAAAAACUCCGGUGGUACAGGAUGGACCCGCGUCUGAUUAGCUGGUUGGUGAGGUAACGGCUCACCAAGGCGACGAUCAGUAGCCGGCUUGAGAGAGUGAACGGCCACAUUGGGACUGAGACACGGUCCCAAACUCCUACGGGAGGCAGCAGUCGGGAAUAUUGCACAA
rnacentral:rRNA from 1 species